rnacentral:tRNA from 1 species
UCCCAGGUAGCUCAGUGGCUAAAAGAAUCUGCCUGCAAAGCAGGACACCUGAGUUUGAUCCCCAGGUUGGGAA